GCGACAAUGCGCGUCAAACCGAUGGCUGUUGCAGUGUGGGUUUGUGUCCCAAGCUUCAGGCCUCGCCGAGCGAAGCUGACGGCCACAGUAGUAGUUGAUAGAUCGUGAACGCAUACGCAACGAUUCGGUCAUCGUCGUCCGCACGCGCAUACGCAAGCGUUUGGCGCUCUCUUCUCGUUGGCACGUUGAAAUUUCCAAAAGUUCUUGACGUUCGUGCUCGUGAGGGUGUAGCGCAGUGCACCGCGUUUCCGGAACCAUCUGCAGAUUGGUGAAUUUGAAGAAUUCGUGAAGCUUUACAACUAAAUUGCUUUCGCACGUGCUUGUGUGCGUAAGCGUUUUGCGUGACCAAACGGAAGCUCCAAACAAAAAAAAACAAGUCGGUUCGCAAAAGAUAGUGUGUGAUAACAGUGAUUGGAAGAACGAGGUUUUUUGUCCGCGCUCAGAAUCAAGGCAAAGAAAGCAGUACUUACUUCACCCGUUUUCAUCGUUCAGCGGAGGAAGGGAAGGGACAUUCUUCCGCCAAGAUGCCUCUCGAUGUUUGCUGGAGAUAAUAGUAUCAACAACUUUAGCAGAUAGCUUUCGGAAUAUCUGACUAGCUGACCACCGACAACCCGCACCAUUACGUACCAAACGAUGGCACUGGCAAGGAACGCCCAAUCGAUAGAAAAUGAAGCACCAUUCAAGACCGGAGGAUACAGCACGACACAGCCGCCACCGAAAGGUGGGAUCGAUACGGUUGCCGGAGGAGUAAACAGCCCGAGUACCGUGACCAGCACCACAACCGACAGCACCAGAGGCAGUCUCUCCAAUAUCUCGACGUCAUCCAUCAAACGGACAGACAACGCUUGCGAUGACGAUUCGAGUGCUUUCGAUAGCAGUAGCAGCAACGGUGGCAGCGAUUCCGAGUGUGAGGAUGAUACCAUCAAGCGCGCCAUUGACCGUAUCCCGGGUGCGCUGGUACCCGGGGAAGCACGCGUACUCCCGAACGGGAAUCUUAAGGUUGGCGCUGAAGCGAUCAGUCCCGCAGUGCGGCCCAACCCGGGCCAACCCUCCGCCAUCGGGGCGAUCGCGGUGCACAACUCGUCCGACAUCACGUUCGGCAACAAAACGUACAUUAAGGGGCAGGUGGUGAUAAAGAACAUCUACCAGGAUCGUAAGCAGGGGGCCGCCAACCAGGGAUACAGUGUGCAUGAAAACGAUACUACCGACACCAGUGCUACUAAAAAAGUACCUCCUUCAGCGUCGAUACCUCCGGAGCCACGCACCUGGCAAUCUAGUCUAAAGACAAUCAUCAAAGACAAACCGUUGCUCAGCUUUAUCGUCAUGAUAUCGCUCAUGAUCGUUCUGUGUGCCAUCGUAGCGGUCAUAUCCAUCCUCACCGCGUCAGGUAAAGCUAGAAUAAGGCCACCGCUUGGCGACGGCGACGACAAUCGUCCCAAUAUCCCACAGGACAAGGACAUAGAGGACGACCUGUUCCCUGAUCCUAGGCCAUUGCGGCUGGUGACGAGAACCGAGUGGCUUGCUCAACCGCCUCGCGAAGAACUGACUGAUCUUAAGCUACCGGUGCACAACGUCAUCAUUGCUCACACUGCCACCGAAGGGUGCACUACUCAGGCUGCCUGUCGAUUGCGUGUACGUUUAAUACAGCUGUUCCACAUGGAUGGCAAGAACUACGACGAUAUAACGUUCAACUUUCUGAUCGGUGGCGAUGGACAGAUUUACGAAGGGCGCAAUUGGUAUAAAAUCGGUGCCCAUACGCAUGGUUACAACUCCAAAAGCCAAGGGAUUGCUUUCGUAGGGGAUUAUAACUACGCCAACAAGCCUACCGAAAAGCAGAUGGAGCUGCUAAAAUAUUUGUUGGAGUUUGGCACUGCACACCGACAGUUGUCCGAAAGCUACAAAAUAUACGCCUCGGAACAGUUGGAUCCAGUAGCACCGACGGGGAAAUGGUUAAUAGAAGCACUCAAAACUUUGCCGCAGUUUGUCGAUAAAUCACCGGAGGAUGGCCACGUUUAGGCAGUACAGUAUUAGACGAAAUGUAUGUACCAGGUGAAAUUGAUCCAGGAGUUCCACGCCGAUCCCAACUCGAGGAACUUUUCCGACAUUGCAUACCAAUUCCUUGUCGGUGGAGAUGGCAACGCGUACGAAGGAAGAGGCUGGACGAAGCAAGGUGCGCAUACGAAAGGGUUCAAUGUGGACAGCAUCUGCAUAGCGUUCAUAGGCACGUUCAUCGUGACACCGCCACCGGCCGCUCAGCUCAGUGCCGCGAAGCAGCUGAUCCAGCUGGGGUUGCAGGGCAACUAUCUGGCCUCCAACUACAGCCUGUACGGUCACCGGCAGUUGGCGCCAUUCGAAAGCCCGGGCAAAGCGCUGUUCGAUAUCAUUAAAACUUGGCCGCACUGGUCCAACAAGCUGAGCAACAACCAUUGGAAUGGCGACGAUUCUCUACCGAAACGCCGCAAACGACGAACCGACCAACAUAUCCUUGAUGACCUCUCUUGAAAAAAGGAAAAAAGACUGUGAUGAUGAACAUAAUCGAAUAAACGUUUAAACUUUGUGUGUUUAGCUUU